rnacentral:lncRNA from 1 species
UCGUGCAGAAGUCUCUGAAGUCCUGGUUGUCGAACUGCUGCCUAUUGUCGGUAAUGAUGGUGUUUGGCAGUUCGAACCGAAAGAUGAUGGACUUCUGUACGAAGUCUUCCAUCUUUCGCUCAGUGAUUUGUGCUAAGGGUUCGGCUUCCACCCAUUUAGUGAAGUAGUCGAUCGCGACGACGAUGAAUUUUCGUUGUCCGGAUGCCGGGGGAAAAGGUCCG